AUGGCCUCGAGCUCCCUCCCGCUCCUCGCCCUCCUGGCCCUGCUGGCCCUGCCAGGGCUCCGGGCGGCCGUGACCCUGUUGGAGUGCGGGGGGGACCUCCAGCCCCCCGGGGGGUCCCUGACUCUGCUCUGCCGUGGGUCUGGAUUCAGUUUCGAGAGUUUUGACAUGUACUGGGUCCGACAAAGACCUGGGAAGGCGUUGGAAUUCGUUGCAUGGAUCAACGACGAUGGUGACAGCACCGGUUACGCGCCGUCGGUCAAGGGUUCGUUCUCGAUCUCCAGGGACAACGGGCAGAGCUCGGUGACGCUGACCAUGAACAACCUUAAGGACGAGGAUUCCGCCAUUUAUUUCUGUGCCACGGGUGCUUUUUCUGGCGCGACUUCUUAUUAUGCUGGUGUUCAUUUUGUUGAUGGUUUUGGCCCCAUCCCAGUCACGGCAUCCCCACUUGUCUCCAAAUGUCCCCAGACCCUUCCCCCAAAUCCCAACCCUCGAAUCCAAUUUUAA